rnacentral:lncRNA from 1 species
CCUUGAAAUUUUUAUUUCAAUAUGCUCAUUCUGGACAAUUUCUUAACAAACAGUGUUGAAAUAUGUAAUUUUAUUUAUUUACAUUAAACGCACCAAAACAACUCAAACAGCAGGACUAAGUAGCAAAUACAGAAGUAUGACUGUGAAAGCCGUGCCUGUUUAAAUUACUAGAAAAAGAAAACCAAGCCUUCUUUAACAAUUUUCCUACAGUCCUAGAAUUCAUGGGAUACAUCCAUCUUAGUUGUCCUUAAAACUCACAAGGACUAUUACAUUCAGAACUGAACUUAACAGAAAACUACAGUAAUUCAGACUUAAAGCAGUGUAAGCUAAACGACCUCUAAGCUGAAAAAUAAUCUGCAAAGACUCAGGUAGACAUGAUAAUAUUUUUAGUUGGGACACCAAAUACUGGCCUUGUGUAAUUGGGACUCUCCUUACCUUUACUGCUCAGCUAAGAGGGUAAUUUUCUAAUGCUAGACAACUACACCAUAGUUGUCCAUUACUAACAGAACAAUAUUUCAUCAAAUACAUAAUAAACUUGAAAUGUAACACUGAAUUUUCUCCAGGCAAUUGCAGGUUGCAUUUUGUCAGGAAUCAUUCUGUAGGGCUCUUCAAACUACAGGGGAAAACCCAAGUCUGGCUUGUUCUGCUUAGACAGGUUUGCCUGUAAAAUGAAGAUCUCAAAGUUUUUAGUAAAAUCACUACUUUGCAAGCAACUUUGAAAAAUAAUUUGUAAAGCUUUAAGUGCUUUCCUCUUAAACAAAGACUAAGAAUCAUACAUGCAGAACAUGCAAAAAAGUAUACUUAUUUUUUUCCUGAAAAUAGUCUUAAGAAAUACUUACAAGGUUAAAAACACAAAAAAGGUUAGUUUUCUCCCCCAGCUCAGUUAGAGAGGAGGCAGGCAAUUAUCAACUACAAUGUGUUCAACUUGUAUUCGCAUGGCUUUUUGUUAGCCCUACUUGAAAACUAAGCUGUCAUGUCUAGUAAGACUAUCUUAACAGAAUCAUCAAGAACAUAAACUUUGCCACAUUUAAAACCAGAAACAAAAAUUCAAUUCCUAGUAAACCCUGGAUAACAUCAGCUUUACUGCCAACUCUAGAAGAAAACAUAUACCCAUCUAUUAACUUGUUUAUUAGAUGUGAAGCCUAAUUAAGGUCUAAAUGGAGUUCUUAGGUUCACCAUCUAGAGAGAAAAAGUUAACCAUUCAGGAUCUUACUAUAAUCUGACAUUUUAGCAUAUGAAGGAAUCCUCUGGAAAGCUUCUUUUUUUUUUUUUUUGGAAAGCUUCUUAUCAUUGUUUUACUUCAACAGUAAUGCUACUGUAUUUCCUCCAAAAGCUUUAAAAUAUAACUAUAUGGUUUGGUACAUGUAAACAUUAUUUUUUCCAGUAAUCACCACAGCACCUCAUUCUACACACUACUAUCAGACAUGCUAACGUUAACUGGAUUUUGAGAACAUCUAGUUUAAAGUAGUUAUUUGUCAUUAAUUAAUCAAAAACUAUUUUAAGAUCUCCUUCAAAAUAUUUAAGAACUCUGAAACAAUUAUAUUUCUAUUGUAUAAAUCACUGCACAAUUCUUAGUAUUUUCUUUCUCUCUGGAAAAUUACCUUUUAAUAAUCAACUCCAGAACUAUGAAAAACUCUUACCUUUCUAUUCGGGAAUCCAUGAUUAAAUUUCUUAAAAAAGGGUUAGAUGUUAAAACUUUCCAUGUUAGACUAUGUAAUCUAUUUUUAAAAAGGCAUCUUCUAAAUUUACCAGAUGAUAUAAUAAGUUAAGUUACAGAAAAUUUACUCCAUAUUACUAAGUUAACAGCUUUCCUCCAAAAUCCAGCUUGGACCCAAUUUUAACAACAGAUCCUAUAAAAUUUUGACGGUUCUCAAGUUAACCCACAUUUUUCUACACAGGUGAGACAGACUCAGGCUAGGCACAAAACAUAGGAAAGAAAAGGCAAACAUGUUGGAUAAAGCAUUUUCUACACAGGUGAGACAGACUCAGGCUAGGCACAAAACAUAGGAAAGAAAAGGCAAACAUGUUGGAUAAAGCACUGUUUACCGGCCAUUGCUUGGGUCUUACUCCAGUGACAGAGUCACAGAAGCCUAAACCACCUAUCGUUGCAAAAGUCUGGUUUUUGAAGGGAGAAGGAUAGCAAUAGUAGUACAGACUUAGAGAUAAACUAAUUUCAGACUCCCAUGCACCUAUACUCUUGGCAUUAUAGACAUGUACUCAUACAUAUAUUUGUCACUCCAUUUAGCACCAGUGUCUUAUUUUCUUUUGAACUCUCAUUUUUUUAAGUUCCAGAAAGCUAAAGACAGUCUAAGGACCACUAGCAGUUUAUACAACAUAAAUUACUAAGAAAACGAGCACGUAACCAGUUAACAGUUACACAUUAAGAACACUAGUACUGGUUAAACAGUAUGUUUACUGGAAACACAAGACAACCCCGCCCCCUUCCAAAUGUUAACAUGUUUAAAAACCACCAACCAACUCCCACAACUUUCUUUAUACAUUGCUUUAAACAGAAUACUCUCACCAAAUUUAUUGAUUUUUUUCACCAAAUUUAAAUAUACAAAUAACAAUUUAUUACCCUUUAAGAUUAAGACAUUGCAAAUACCAUCUCCAAAAAAGCAAAAAGCAAUAUCCAAACUUUGCAAAAUAACACCGUAGUAUUAAAAUUUUCUUUACAGACACAAUUGAACACUAAGUAAAUAAAUCUAAUCAGACAAAAAAAAAAAUAUAGUAAAAACUCAGUCAAAUCUGACAUGCAACUUCAGAGGUGGAAUGUUUUAGCACAAAAUUAUGACAAAACUUCAUUUUAAAGAAAACUUGUAUAUAUGAAUUUCACACUGAGGAGAUAAUUAAAAUGACAAAGAUUAGCUUUUUUUUUUUUUUAAAUACUUUAUACUUCUGGAACAUUUUAAAGUAGAAGUCGAAUCUUCAGUAAUAUUUAAUUUUCACAAUCUUCUGGUCACAAUCCCCACCAAA